rnacentral:rRNA from 1 species
UACGUAGGGUGCAGGCGUUAAUCGGAAUUACUGGGCGUAAAGCGUGCGCAGGCGGUUUGCUAAGACAGGUGUGAAAUCCCCGGGCUUAACCUGGGAACUGCGCUUGUUACUGGCAGGCUUGAGUGUGGCAGAGGGGGGUGGAAUUCCACGUGUAGCAGUGAAAUGCGUAGAGAUGUGGAGGAACACCGAUGGCGAAGGCAGCCCCCUGGGCUAACACUGACGCCUCAUGCACGAAAGCGUGGGGAGCAAACAGG